AUUUUCUUACUUCGUCUUUCCCUUAAUAAGUCAUCAAAUUUGGUGCUUUUUGAUCCCCUGUUGCUAUGGGGAACAAAGGAGGAAAUACAAUCGAUUCCUCUAUUUAAGUGGUUCUCUCUUCUCCUUGUUCCUGUUCCUAACUCUUCCCCAGGUAGUUCCCAAUGUUUGGUACUUUCUAUACUUCGUGGGUGCAACAUCAACAAAUUCGCUCAUGAUCAAGUUACAACCUAAGAUCUAUGACCAUAUUAUGCUAACUGUUCGUAUUUCGUUCAUUCCAUCGGUAUGCUCUCAGGUACCUGUAAUUGUGAUCUGUUUGCCAGAACCAAGGGGUCUUUCUGUGGAAACCUUCACGAACAAUCAUCGUUUUUUGAUGGUUUUUCCGCUUCUCACCGCUGCUCUUUCCACACCUCCGGAUAUCUGGUGCCAAAUCGUCGCCCGUUUCCUUAUUUCUUCGAUAAUUGAGUUGACUAUCUUUGUGGCAUCGAUUGUACAAGUUCGCGAAGAGGCUGGACGAGUGGAAUGA